CAUUAAGGAAGCAAGGGAGGACAAUGCAACCAAACACUCAGCUGAUAAUGGGAAACGCUGAGCAAGGAACAGCAACUCCAAAAUCAGACAUCAGAAGACUAUAGAGAACGGUUCAGACUGCUGAAAGGAUUAUUGGUGCUCCCCUGCCCACCCUCCAAGAACUGUAUACAUCCAGAGUGAGGAAAAGGGCUCUGGAUCCCUCACAUUCAAGCCAAUCUCCUUUUUGAACUUUUGCCAUCUGGUCAACGCUACAGAGCACUGAAUACCAGGAAAGUCAGGCACAAGAACAGUUUCUUUCCCCAGGCAAUCUACCUCAUGAACAGUUAAAUGUUCUCCCAUUGUGCAAUAAAAGAGCUGGCUCAAGCCCUGCUGUGUUACGCUCAUUUAAAGAGCACAGUGACCCUGGAACUCACAUGGAACAUGGCCCCAUUCAGUGUAAUACAAAACACCCCAACACAAUAUGGUCACCAGAAGAAAAAACAAACCACUGCCUGAACCAACUAUAUAAACAGCCAAUGCUUCAUCAGUAACUGAAAAUCUUCCAGGAAGCUUUUCCUGGAAAAGGAGACCUUGUCCAUGGUUCUCCAGGGGAUGUUGCCCUAAUUUUGGAUGAAAAUAGUGAUCAUUAUCCAGAGACAUCAGAUGCAUGGCAAAAAUCAGUCUGAGCCCUGGGCUGAAUUAAUCCAAAACAAAGCUUUCUUUGGCUUGUAUAAUAAUUUUGUUACUGAAGUUUUGUUUACAUUGUUCACGAGCAGCUGAAGGUUGUCAACUGAUGUGGUGAGAAUGAGAGAGCGUUUUGACCUAGAUUGUGGCGUGCAGUGAACGUUGUGUUGAGAAGCCAAGGACUUUGAAAUCUUUGAGUACAUGGAGUCUGUAGAAAAAUGAUGUCAGAAGGAUUUAUGGUAAGUGUUGGCCCUGCUUGUCCACAUCAUUGUGUGUGUAUUAAUUGCCCAAGCUUGACUCUCAGAAUUGCAAACGGUUCAUUUUGCCUAUUGUAGUCUAGCAGCAGCCCAGAUGAAUUGACUUAGAGCAUGUGUUUGAAGGCAGAUCAAGUUUUUGGACAAAUGUGAUUUUGACUCUUGCAAGCUGAAGCACAGAUGGUACAGGAUUGAAAAGUGAGUACAUUGUUUGAAGUUCAAGCACAUGUACCAUGUGACUGACUACAGGCAUGUGAGUGUCAGUGCACAUUGGAUGUGCAUUAGGGUUUCCUGGGAUCAGGAGAUUUCAAGAGGAAGGAGGAGGCAUAUGUAGACAGUUACACUGACCUGGUUCCUGUUUAACCAGGAAGAUGUUUUUAUAAGAUUUGUAUAAAUUAUUUAAAGUUAUGACUUAUUGACGUGUUGCAGAGGAAAACAAUCCAGGAUGUAGCUUUUAAAUAAGACGUUAAAAAUGCAAGUGGUGUAAUUUUUCUACUUCACUCUUUCUG
ensembl:lncRNA